AAAAAAGAAAACAUGUGAUUUAAUUUUUGUUGGACAAAUAGUAGGAAUUUAUUAAAAAUUAUUAAUUUUAACAAAAUAUUAAUACAAAGUGAUUAAUAAAAGUAAUGGUGGAUUUAAUAAUUUAAGAAAUUUUAAGUGUUUAAAAAACAAAUGUGUAAGAAAGCGAUAAUUUCGGAGAAACAUUGAAUUGACUAGAGUGUUAAUCUCAUAAAAAGAAUUCCUCAGAAGUAUUUAUGGCAAAAAAUCUUCAUGGACCAGGAGAACGUGUUUGAUCUGCGGUAAUGCAAGUGAAAUGGCGAUGUCCAAGGACGACUACACAGGGAGCAACACCAGGCAGCAAGCAGUUAACAGCAGCCUUUGCCUAAAAAAAAUCUUAAAAAACGGAAACGGCUCAACAUGAUUUACCAAUAUUUAGAACACAGUAACAACACUUUUUUAUUACAACGUGGAACUUUUUGUGAUUUUUUUUAAGUUACUACAAAACCAUUCAUUAGAACUACAUAGUUUGACACUUAAACCACAAGAGUUCGGCAAAUUUCGAAAUGAAGAGCGUAAACGACGACAAAGAAAGGAAAUUAACAAAGCGGCUGGAAAUGCUAAAAUUAUUACUAUUAGAAGAAAAAGGGUUGUAGCAGCAGCACAACAGUGAGGACGUGAGAACAUUACAAAUUCAAA